rnacentral:rRNA from 1 species
GAUGAACGAUAGCGGGAGGCCUAACACAUGCAAGCCGAGCGGUAGGAUUUCUUCGGAAAUUUGAGAGCGGCGUACGGGUGCGGAACACGUGUGCAACCUGCCUUUAUCUGGAGGAUAGCCUUUCGAAAGGAAGAUUAAUACUCCAUAAUAUACAAGAUGGCAUCAUUUAGUAUUGAAAGCUCCGGCGGAUAAAGAUGGGCACGCGCAAGAUUAGAUAGUUGGUGAGGUAACGGCUCACCAAGUCUGCGAUCUUUAGGGGGCCUGAGAGGGUGAUCCCCCACACUGGUACUGAGACACGGACCAGACUCCUACGGGAGGCAGCAGUGAGGAAUAUUGGACAAUGGGUGCAAGCCUGAUCCAGCCAUCCCGCGUGAAGGAUUAAGGACCUAUGGUUUGUAAACUUCUUUUAUACAGGGAUAAACCUAUCUACGUGUAGAUAGCUGAAGGUACUGUACGAAUAAGCACCGGCUAACUCCGUGCCAGCCGCCGCUGUAA